UGGGGAAUAUUGCACAAUGGGCGCAAGCCUGAUGCAGCCAUGCCGCGUGUAUGAAGAAGGCCUUCGGGUUGUAAAGUACUUUCAGUCGGGAGGAAGGUGGUAAGGUUAAUAACCUUGGCAAUUGACGUUACCGACAGAAGAAGCACCGGCUAACACCGUGCCAGCAGCCGCGGUAAUACGGAGGGUGCAAGCGUUAAUCGGAAUUACUGGGCGUAAAGCGCACGCAGGCGGUUGAUUGAGUCAGAUGUGAAAUCCCCGGGCUUAACCCGGGAAUUGCAUCUGAUACUGGUCAGCUAGAGUCUUGUAGAGGGGGGUAGAAUUCCAGGUGUAGCGGUGAAAUGCGUAGAGAUCUGGAGGAAUACCGGUGGCGAAGGCGGCCCCCUGGACGAAGACUGACGCUCAGGUGCGAAAGCGUGGGGAGCAAACAGG
rnacentral:rRNA from 1 species